GUGAAUCUGUGUGGUUGGUUGUACAGCAGAACCACGUGAAAAUGCAAAGAAUCCCUCUUGUAACGGCUAGAAACAAGGUGGCUAAUUUUUGCCUUUUUAAGGAAUUUCUUUUGGACGUGACUUGUUCUUGCUCUGGUUUAAUCAUACCAGCUCUCUGUAGGAAAAAGAAAGAGCAGUGGAAAAGCCAUUCUCAUUCUGCAAGACAAACCAUCGACGUUGCGCUUGUGUGGGCAAAUGGACUGCCUGAGUUACUCUGGAGCAGUGAUGGCGCAAGAGCAACGUCAGAGGUUCCCUGCACCUCCUGGCCCCCAGUAGUGGGGCGAAGACUACCAAAUGGGUUCUACAUCAAAAGGCCACUGUUAAUUCUUUCUGCUGCAGAUAAGGAAAAAGUGACCUAUAAAGCCUUCCCUGACCUAAGAAGUCAAUUAAAGUACAAAAAAAGAGCAGCUGAGUACAGCAGGGGAAUUCAUCCGCUGUUUAUCAGCUUGGACCUCAAUGCUCACCCACUCAGCACUGGAGUAAGUAUAGAGGGAGGACAAUACAGCCACAGAAGAGAGAAACAAAACCAGGAAAGUAAAAUGGAGGGAAUUCAUCUCUGGGGGAAUUGCACAGUGAAUGCUGAGUUACAUCGGUUUCCAAUAUCUUUUCAGUUCAUAAAGACUGAUCACUACCAGCUUUGUUCUGCGGCCUCUGGUGAAAAAUAAAGGAUCCACUUCAUCCAGAAAAUACUUUGGAGGUCAGAAAGUGUUUUUGUCUCCCCAGGGGUUUUCAGUGCUGGCAGGAGGGGCAGAUUUGGUUUCUCAAAUAUAAAGAGGAGAGCUAACAAUGUCCUGUCUCUGAGCUGGUAGGCAAAGAAGAGGGGAAGUCCUAGUGACCCAGCAGAAACACAGAAUAAAAUCAAAUGGAGACAUGAGCAGCUUAGCCAACCUUUUGCAUGCAGUGGAAUUAAACAUGAAAAGAUGGACUCCCUGUUCCCUCAUACACAAGAAACAGCUGCCUCCUCCCCCUGGAGAAUAGUUUGGAGUGUGUGAUGGGGAUGUAAUAUGACAAGCUAGAUUGAAGUUUAAAAGGACAGAAGAAUUUCCGUUGCUUGAGAUGGAG
ensembl:lncRNA